rnacentral:snoRNA from 10 species
AACAUGGACAGACUCAGGAAGUCACUCUCCCCAGCUCUGUUCAAGUGGCACAGAGGGACCCAGGGCUCUGCCCCACGAUGUACAGAAAAAGUCUUGGUCUUGAGGAAUCUUCCCUUUAUAGGCAGACAGCAUUUCAAGUAAUCUGCGUGAAAUCAGUGCAUUUCUCUUUCUUCAUUCGGAUGAAGUGACACAAGCAGGAAAGUCUU